UGCAAGAGAGUGGGCGACCGGUUAGGUCAGCGGGUCAGGGUCGGAAGACAGCAGCCCAACCUUUCUACCGUCGGGUCAUUUCUCUUGCACUU
rnacentral:SRP_RNA from 1 species